rnacentral:rRNA from 1 species
AUUGAACGCUGGCGGCAGGCUUAACACAUGCAAGUCGAGCGGGGGAAGGUAGCUUGCUACCGGACCUAGCGGCGGACGGGUGAGUAAUGCUUAGGAAUCUGCCUAUUAGUGGGGGACAACAUCUCGAAAGGGAUGCUAAUACCGCAUACGUCCUACGGGAGAAAGCAGGGGAUCUUCGGACCUCGCGCUAAUAGAUGAGCCUAAGUCGGAUUAGCUAGUUGGUGGGGUAAAGGCCUACCAAGGCGACGAUCUGUAGCGAGUCUGAGAGGAUGAUCCGCCACACUGGGACUGAGACACGGCCCAGACUCCUACGGGAGGCAGCAGUGGGGAAUAUUGGACAAUGGGGGGAACCCUGAUCCAGCCAUGCCGCGUGUGUGAAGAAGGCCUUAUGGUUGUAAAGCACUUUAAGCGAGGAGGAGGCUACUCUAGUUAAUACCUAGGGAUAGUGGACGUUACUCGCAGAAUAAGCACCGGCUAACUCUGUGCCAGCCGCCGCAGUAACAC